rnacentral:tRNA from 2 species
UCUCGUGUGAUGUAACGGUAGCAUACUUGUUUUGUAGUCAAGUAGUUCGGGUUCAAAUCCUGACAUGAGAA